CAGCUGCCCCGGGAUCCUGGCCGCCGCCUGUGGGUCUGUGGGUCGUUUGCGCAGGAACCUGUUGGAGCGAGCGGCUUUGGGGACGCUGGCACCCAGUCCCCCGGGCGGCCCUAGAGGAACAAGAGUUCCUGAUGGGCUCUGAUGACAGUGAAGCUCCCCGGUAGUCCACCCACGUGGGAUAUCAGGUCGCCACGUGGUCCUUCAGGCAUGGAGAAGUGGGGUAGAAAGGCCCACCCUUGACCCGAUGCCCCCUCUGACCCCAGAGGUCCUUUGCUAUAAGUGGCUUGAUAGUAGGGACACCUGGCCUAGGGACUUCCCAAAAAAAAGAUUGACGGAGAGACAUUUCAAGGAUUCCCGCUGUCCAAGGGCUCCUCCAACUCUUUCUGCUGGUGUCUUUUCCACUUUUUUGCCCUUUUUUAACUUUCAUGUCCCUGGUUGUCCUCUUCUUCCUUUUCAGAGUCGGCUGAGCCAUCUCAUCCGCGCGCAUUGCUUUGAUCCCACCGUGCCCCCCCCCCCUUUCUCAUGACCUCCCAGCCCCACCCCAAGCUGCUCCUUCCCCUUGCCCUCCAGCCUGUGGACACACUCGGGGGUUGGUCCCGCAGGAACCUUAAACUUCGCAGGGCUUGAAUGAAGAUAAUAGUACACUUUUGCCUCGUAGAAUUGUGAGAAUUAAAAUACAGCUGACCCUUGAACAACAGUGAUUGGAACUGCGUGGGUCCACUCAUAGAUUUUUUUCAUUCUAGUGCGUUUAAGGUAUCAUCUUUAUUCUACAAAUGUUGAAAUAGGUAGGAGGAGAUUGUAGUGGAGUCUGUCUCACUCAUGCUCAAGUGAACACAGCUGGGCCUGAAGUUGUCUUCCAGGAUCAAGUGGAGAAGCUCGAGCAGCCCUUCUGAGGAAUCCCAACUAAGGAAUCUCUGCCUCCGCGUGCUUGCAGGGCAAAAGUAGUGCUGGAGAGCUCUUCUCACCAAUCCACGAGGCAUACAGUCACAGAGAGAGAGAGAGGCACAGAGACACAGGCAGAGGGAGAAGGCUCCAUGCACCGGAAGCCCGAUGUGGGAUUCGAUCCCGGGUCUCCAGGAUCGCGCCCUGGGCCAAAGGCAGGCGCCAAACCGCUGCGCCACCCAGGGAUCCCAUGAUGACAGCUUUUAAAUGCUGCAUAAUACCCUCCAGUUCCAUCCACGUUGAAGCAAAUGGUGGGAGACCCGAUUCCUACUAGACUGUCCUCCUGGCCUACUUUUGUCAUUUGUAGAUUGGAUGAGGAGUACUGCCCUAACAUUUCACCGGAGAGCUGUGAGGUCAAACUGAGAUAAUGUGACUGAGAAUAUUUUAAAACUGUAUAGUGAUGUAUGAGCAUAAGGAACAUUUAAAUACUCAGUGUUAUUAGCAUGUUUGAGGUCAAGAUAUCAAUUCACAGUUUGUGGUUCUACCUUGAAUGACUCUACAGAAAAGUCAUAAGAAAAUAUAAAGUGAUUUCAGUAUAAAUUCAGCUAUUAUUUUGAGAGCAAGUAACUUUCAGGUUAGUGUCUGGAAUUUUAUAGUUAUUUCAUAGAUUAUACCCCUAAUUUCAAGAACUGUUAUUAAUGUAUCAAAUACUGUGUUAAGUACCUCACAUGUACACUUUGUGCCUGGGUCUUAAUUUAUAAAGAUGACUGAAUGAUGACAUGGAGAGGUCAAUGCUAUUUGAAGAGAAAUUUAAUGUCAGUCACAUUUCUUCUAGAAACAUGAGACAUGGCUGGUUAUGCAGGGCCAGGGAGGAGCACCAGGUUUUGAUCAGGAAGCUGAAGCUGUUAGAGGGAUAGGUUUAGGCCUGAGCUUUUACUGGAGUUUCUGUGGGAAAGGCAAGGGAGGGCAAGCUGAGCAGUUUAGGGUUGGCUUAUCUGAAGAAUUUUGGAAAAAAAAAAAAAAAAAGAAUUUU